rnacentral:rRNA from 1 species
AGUGAACGCUGGCGGUAGGCCUAACACAUGCAAGUCGAACGGCAGCACAGUAAGAGCUUGCUCUUACGGGUGGCGAGUGGCGGACGGGUGAGGAAUACAUCGGAAUCUACUUUUUCGGGGGGGAUAACGUAGGGAAACUUACGCUAAUACCGCAUACGACCUACGGGUGAAAGCAGGGGAUCUUCGGACCUUGCGCGAUUGAAUGAGCCGAUGUCGGAUUAGCUAGUUGGCGGGGUAAAGGCCCACCAAGGCGACGAUCCGUAGCUGGUCUGAGAGGAUGAUCAGCCACACUGGAACUGAGACACGGUCCAGACUCCUACGGGAGGCAGCAGUGGGGAAUAUUGGACAAUGGGCGCAAGCCUGAUCCAGCCAUACCGCGUGGGUGAAGAAGGCCUUCGGGUUGUAAAGCCCUUUUGUUGGGAAAGAAAAGCAGCAGGUUAAUACCCCGCUGUUCUGACGGUACCCAAAGCAUAAGCACCGGCUAACUUCGUG